GUAAUUCCGGUGCUUUUCCAAUGAGUUUACAAUGAUCUCUGGCUCUGAUUUCGAGUAUUUUUUGUUCUUUCUUUUCUUGUUGGUGCAGUGGAGCCUGAAACAGCGCUUUACACGGAGCUAUGGCACGCUUGUGCUGGUCUGCUCGUGACAGUGCCUCGUGAAGGCGAGCGCAUGUUCUAUUUUUCUCAAGGACAUAUUGAGCAGGCGAUGAAUUUGAUUUUCAGCCCUAGAAUUUGAAAUUCGUUGAUUUCGAAGAGUUAAAAAACUUCGACUUGAACCAGCAUUUGGCAGGACAUGAUCCGUGUGAGACUUCGAGUGGUCCAGAUUCAUAUCCAAACAGGUCCAUAGGACACAGGAACAGUCGCCUUAGUAGAAAAGUAGAAAAAGAAAAAGGUAAUCUACAUCUCACUUUUGAGCUUAAACAAGGAAAUGGCAGUAUGAACUCUCUCAACCUCUCAAUCUCAUUCUCUAUCUCUCUUUGUCUCUCUCAAUCUUGCUUUCUCUCUUUGUUUGUCAAUCUCCUGCUCUCUCUUUAUGGUUCUUUUGAAAUCUCUAUUUUUCAUUCAUUGUCACUCAGAUCGCCCCUUGGAUUGUCCAAAAUGAUCUCUCUAGGGCAACACAAAAUCAACAUUUUUAGCUUUGAAAGAUCUAGAAAUUGGAGCGACAUUAUUUGGAUCGUCGUUGCCUUGCUAUUCCCCAUCAUAAUGUGUAUUGAUCAG